GCGUGGUCGUGGAUUUAUGGUGGGCCCUUCGCUGUGGGCCUCUCAUAGGGUUCCCAUGCAGAGGAAACUGCAGCCUGGAACCAUGGCCCAGCCUCCUCAGCUGUGGGCUGGGAGCACUGAAGGGGGUUGUACAGUG